UCGAGGAUCUUCCGCAAUGGACGAAAGUCUGACGGAGCGACGCCGCGUGGAGGAUGAAGGCCUUCGGGUUGUAAACUCCUGUCUAGGGUUAUGAAAGUACAGGCGCGAACAGUGCCUGGGAUGACGUAAGCCCUGGAGGAAGCACCGGCUAACUCUGUGCCAGCAGCCGCGGUAAUACAGAGGGUGCAAACGUUGUUCGGAAUCACUGGGCAUAAAGCGCACGUAGGCGGCCCCGUAAGUGUCGGAUGAAAUCCCACGGCUUACCCGUGGAACGGUCCGGCAUACUGCGAGGCUAGAGGAUGGUAGAGGAGAGCGGAACUCUUGGUGGAGCGGUGAAAUGCGUAGAUAUCAAGAGGAACACCGGUGGCGAAGGCGGCUCUCUGGUCCAUGUCUGACGCUGAGGUACGAAAGCCAGGGGAGCAAACGGGAUUAGAUACCCCCGUAGUCC
rnacentral:rRNA from 1 species